AAGAAAAAACGUGAUUUGCUACCAUUAAUUUGCUACAAAUAGUGUUUCUAGUUAAAUUCAAGUAUAUUAACAACCAUUUGACUGAAAUUAAUCUUAUAUUACUUUUUUAACAAAUCACAGUAUUAUUAUUAUUUUAUUUAUUUUUUACUAUUCUUUUUUAUUGCUACUAUUAAUUUGUUGACUGUCAAUAAAACAAAAUCUCAUAACACGUAUCGUGAAACCCCUCUCUCCUUCGAUCUUGCUCCGCCGCGAUCUUGCUCCGAUCUAACUCUCCCUCUGAUUUUGCUCCGAUCUCACUUUCCGUCCGAUCUUGCUCUUGAUCCUCGAACACAUAUCACUCCAACAUAGACUCGAUCCUCUCGCGAUUGUUAUUCUUAGUUGAAAUUUGAUGUUGUGCUCGUUUCAGAUUACUUCUGCCUCUUAGGAUGGAGUAGUGGAUUCCAAGGUAGCAUCUACACUUCGACCCUGUACUAAAGGUCUUUGGUUGUGGAGCUCACUUAUUAAGAGGACUGCUCUUGAUGGAAUAUUGUACAGUCUUCUGCUAUUAGACAUUGAAGGGGACAAACAACACCCAGAUAUUUUAGGUAUUAAUAAUACUAAAUUAAUUGCUCAAAAAUCAAAAUGAAUGCCUCUAAUCACAAAUCACCAUUCCUCUGACCAAACUUGACCUCAGUGGUCAAGUCCAUGAAUGGACUAUCCAGAUGCCGGCUGAACUUGCACGAAUGAAUGAAGACUUGGAACUCUUCAAUAAUGACACAAAUCCACAUUAUUUCUUUAUGAAGAAAGAAGUCAUUAAAUCAAGAAACAAGGAUCUCGUUCAACUUUUUGAAUUUGGUGGUGUGAGACACUGUGACUUAUGUGAAAGUGUGAAGUCCACAAUAUCACACAGCAUUAGAUUAACAGCAUUGGUGGAAAUAAAGUGUGUUUUACAUCAUUUGCAUCAUAUCACAUUGAAGCUGUUUUACUACUCACUUUGAAAUGGAAUUUUGCUAAUUGUGAUCUUGAAUUGCUAUUAGUGAAACAUCCUGAGGUUGCAGAAUUUCUUGGUUCGCGGAUGUAUGAUUGUUUAAUCAAAUACAAUGAAGUUUAGAGCUUAUAGUUGAGACUGAUUCUUUUAACAAGGAGGAAUUUUCAUUCAAGAGUUGGAUAAUAUGAGCCGAUGCUUAUGGAAGUUCAUUUGCACCGUGUGAUGUAAGAAACAAACAGGAAGCUGCUAACUUUGGGACUCCACAAUGGCUUUGGCAUAGCUAAAGAAACUGUAGUGCAUAGAGCUACAAUGAAUCAUCUUCAUAUGCUUUCCCAUCAGCAACUACUUUACUAGCUACCAUGUCUUUUAUUUCAAGGUUUUUAUUUAUGCAUAUGCAUAUUGAGAUUGCACUAUGAAGGUACUUUGCCAUAUAAUCUGUUUUUUAAUUGUAUUUUUACUUGUAGGUUUUUAUUUAUACAUGCAUAUUGCAUUUUGUAGUGAAAUUGAACUUGUUAGCUGCUACAGUACAUCAGAGUUAGAUAAGUAGUGGUUUCUUGAGUUACUGAUCCUGUUGCCGAAAUUCUAAAAUUCUAAGUUCCUAGGUUUCUAUAAUAUUAAUAUUAUAAAGGAAAUAAAUUGUGUUUUGCAUCAUUUGCAUCAUAUCUGCUUGAAUAGUUAAUUACAAUUUAGCCUAAUCAGUUUUGAUUAGAAAGCCAUUUUAUAAUUAUAAAAAAAAUCUAAAUGGCUUGGAUAUAGCUGCGAAAUCGCUAGGAUAUAGC